GCAGCCGCGGUAAUUCCAGCUCCAAUAGCGUAUAUUUAAGUUGUUGCAGUUAAAAAGCUCGUAGUUGGAUUUGUGGUUGGAGAGGUCCGCCGUUGCUAUGCUUCGUGUUGGAUCUUUCCGUCCAUCCUUGGGUGGAUCCUGUGUGGCAUUCAGUUGUCGUGCAGGGGAUGCCCAUCGUUUACUGUGAAAAAAUUAGAGUGUUCAAAGCAGGCCUUUGCCCGAAUACAUUAGCAUGGAAUAAUAGAAUAGGACGUGUGGUUCUAUUUUGUUGGUUUCUAGGACCGCCGUAAUGAUUAAUAGGGAUAGUCGGGGGCAUCAGUAUUCAAUCGUCAGAGGUGAAA
rnacentral:rRNA from 13 species